GACGAACGCUGGCGGCGUGCCUAAUACAUGCAAGUCGAGCGAGACUCUUCGGAGUCUAGCGGCGGACGGGUGAGUAACACGUGGGCAACCUGCCUGUAAGACUGGGAUAACACCGGGAAACCGGUGCUAAUACCGGAUAAUCCUUUUCCUCUCAUGAGGAAAAGCUGAAAGACGGUUUCGGCUGUCACUUACAGAUGGGCCCGCGGCGCAUUAGCUAGUUGGUGAGGUAACGGCUCACCAAGGCGACGAUGCGUAGCCGACCUGAGAGGGUGAUCGGACACACUGGGACUGAGACACGGCCCAGACUCCUACGGGAGGCAGCAGUAGGGAAUCUUCCACAAUGGACGAAAGUCUGAUGGAGCAACGCCGCGUGAGCGAUGAAGGCCUUCGGGUCGUAAAGCUCUGUUGUUAGGGAAGAACAAGUACCGGAGUAACUGCCGGUACCUUGACGGUACCUAACCAGAAAGCCACGGCUAACUACGUGCCAGCCGCCGCCGUAACAC
rnacentral:rRNA from 1 species